AACGAACGCUGGCGGCGCGCCUAAUACAUGCAAGUCGAGCGAGAAGGUGUAGCAAUACACUUGUAAAGCGGCGAACGGGUGAGGAAUGCAUGGGUAACCUACCCUCGAGUGGGGAAUAACUAGCCGAAAGGUUAGCUAAUACCACAUACGUUUCCGGAACUUCGGUUUCGGAAAGAAAGCAAUACCGUGGGUAUUGCGCUCCUGGAUGGGCUCAUGUCCUAUCAGCUUGUUGGUGAGGUAACGGCUCACCAAGGCUUCGACGGGUAGCUGGUCUGAGAGGACGAUCAGCCACACUGGCACUGCGACACGGGCCAGACUCCUACGGGAGGCAGCAGUAAGGAAUAUUGCGCAAUGGACGAAAGUCUGACGCAGCGACGCCGCGUGGGGGAUGAAGGUCUUCGGAUUGUAAACCCCUUUCGGGAGGGAGAUGGAGUGGGUAACCACUUGGACGGUACCUCCAGAAGCAGCCACGGCUAACUUCGUGCCAGCAGCCGCGGUAA
rnacentral:rRNA from 1 species